UGGAGCUUAACUCCAAAAAGAGGGGGUACUUUACUGUGUUCGCGAUUAGUUUAGCCACACACCCCUUCGUCAAACUAUAAUAAAAUGGAAUUAUAUUGGGCAGGCAAGGGUUAACUGGAGACAGGAAACAAAUGUAACGUUUUGACAUCUUUGAUACAAAAGAGCAGCACCUGGCAACAACCAGUAGCCCCGCCCCCAGGAGGAGCCCCUGACCUCGAGAGAAGGAACCUAGAACCUCUCCCCAUAGACGCCACUGGUGGUGAGAUGAUGGGGAUCCUCCUCCUGCUUAUUCCUGCUUUUACCUUCCUCCCAUGCUGCAGUGCCGUCCACGUGGAGCAGGAUAAGAAGCUUCUGAUAGUGAAGACCGGGGAAAAGCGUCAGGUGAAUUGCACGCAGGAUCAGAAUGAUUAUUUGAACAUGUUCUGGUAUCAGCAGAAACCGGAUCAAGGACUGAAGCUCAUGGUGCAUUCAGUAGGAGUAGAUUCUACAACCAUGGAGAAGGACUAUGAGCAGAGGUGGUCCUUGACGAGGACCACCGUCUAUAGCGCCACUCUGACCCUAACCGCCUCAGCCGCAGAGGACAACGCUGUGUACUUCUGCGCUGCCAGUAUACACAGCCUGAGAGAGCGGAGCCCAGCAUGGUAAUAACCUGAGUGUAAUCCCUGACCGCACCAGCAGGGGGCGACAAGCAGCUUCGUGAAGGCGAAAAACAAUUCAAAGAAUCAGAAAACAACGAUAAGGAGGGAAUAAUCAUUAUUAGGGCUCACGCAC